GUAUCAGCCACAACUCUCUCUUUCCCCUACUUUAUUUCUCUCUCUCUCUGUCCUUGCAAUGGCAUAAAGUUAAUGCUGGCUUCUUCUCCAUUUUGAGGAAUGCAUCAACCUUCUUUUCAUGACUACAAGUUUGUAAGGCUAUUUAAAGUAAUCAUUUAUAGAGAAUUAUCGCCAAAUUUUGAGGUUUUGACCAAAGUCAUCUCUAAAUCCUUUCACAAGUAUGCAAUGUUCUAUUUUUGGUUUAUUUCCUCUUGUAUUAGAUAAGUUCUAGGCAAAGUUUUAACUCAUCUUCUUUUCUUUUCUGAUCAAAUCACGCAAAUCCUUACAAAGCCCAGCCUAAGGAAACCUAGCAAACCCUAACCUUGUCCAAAUAAAUAUCAAGGGAAUUGAGAGUCUUUGGGAUCAAUUUUUAGCCUCAAUUCUAAGGCUCGAGUUCUAGGUCACAAUACAAUAAAAAACUUCUUUUAUCCACAAAUAGCCAGCCCUUUCGUCUCUCUUUCAGUUUUGGGAUUUCUUUCUUCGAAUAAGUUUGAGAUAGUGAAGUUUCAAAUGUGGAUUUGCAAUCUAAAACUCCCCUAGUUGGCUUCUUUGAAAUAGAAGCUUUAAAUUGAGUGGAAACAACACCACAAGGCAAGGGAUGGAAGGAGAAACUCUUAGACGAAAUUAGGCGUUAAGAGGCACAUUUCAUUGAGCUUACGCGAAUUGGCCAUGUUGCGGAGCUCUUACAAAGUGAUUUUCAAUGCCCCAAGCCCCUUAUUCUAUAAUAUAUCCACCACGAUGCACCACAUUUCCCAUGCGAUAUCCAAUGUACUGCAGACCUCUCCUCAUACACGGCUUAAGUCCUCAACUAUAAAUAGAACACUUUGUAACUUAUUCUAAGGACUUUUGGACGUAUUUGGACUGGAGAAGAGGUUGCUACAAAUAUUUUUUAGGGUUUUUAUUCUUUUGGUUUAUCUUCUUAAUAGAUUGGAUUAUGUAUUGAAGUAUUCAGAUCAUGAUUAUGUCAAUUAGUGGCUAAAUGCCCAUUUUCUGGAGUUAAAUCCAAGAACAUGACUACUAUUAUUUUGGAUUGA